UACGAAGGGGGCUAGCGUUGUUCGGAAUCACUGGGCGUAAAGGGAGCGUAGGCGGGUUUCUAAGUCAGGUGUUUAAUCCCGGGGCCCAACCCCGGACAGGCACUUGAAACUGGGAAUCUUGAAUAGUGGAGAGGUCAGUGGAAUUGGGGGUGUAGCGGUGGAAUGCGUAGAGAUCCCCAAGAACACCAGUUGCGAAGGCGGCUGACUGGACACAUAUUGACGCUGAGGCUCGAAAGCAUGGGGAGCAAACAGG
rnacentral:rRNA from 1 species